CUUUCGAAGACCGUCCUGUCUUCACUGGCUGUUAGGUUAACGAAGUCUUUUCAACUCUCGAUCUUUUGUGAAGGAAAGUACGAUUCAAGGUUAAUGAUACUGACAGAUGUGGCACAUCGGUCAACUGGUCCAGUGUCAAGAGUUUUCGUUCAAAAUUGGUUGAAGGAUGUUGACAUGAAGAUGAAUAUCAGACUUAAGUGCCUGUAUUGCUGUCUUCGUAAGGGUAUUUAAAGUUGGUGGAUGCAGCUACCGUUUAACAGUUGGAAGGAAAGGGAAUUGCCUGGGAAUUUUGUAAGCAAGGUCAGCUGAGAGACUGAAAUAUACAGAAGAUUGUGAGUGGUAUUGUGAACAGUAUGGCAGAAGCAGCCACUUAAAACCUUCCUUACAGCUGCCUGUUCCAAUGAGAGGCAUAAAUGUGUUCACUGACUGUUAGUGAAUGAUGUAGAAACGUGAUAUUGCUGCAGGGGUCAACUGAGGAGGGCCAGCUGCUACUGGAAUCUCUGCCAGGCCACAACAUAUGAAUGAUAGGCUGCAGUGGGAGUCUGUUUGAGAAAGAAGGUUACUGGAGUCCCUUCCUGCCAGGGUUUUAGGUAUGAAUGCUACACCGCAGGUGGAGACGCUGUCAAGGAGGCCUCUUGACAUUAGAGUGGUGUACUUGCCAGGGUCAUUAUCUGAAUCCCAUUGCUGCAAAAGCUUUCUUUGAAAAAUAUUGAAGACCUCUCCUCCCUGGGGUUAAGAUUUGAAUGCUGCUACUUCAGGCCUUUUUGAGAAAGGCCAGCUGUGAUAUUGGAGUUGUAACUACUGCCCGCUGUGGUAUGGGAGUUAAGACUAUUAAUGCCCGAUGUGAUAUUUGAGUUAUGUAAAGUACUGCCCACUGUGAUAAGUUAUAAAUUUUCAGUACCAGACCACCAGAUUCUGGUGGUGAGGAAGGGCAGCGGAGGGACUUUUCACGAGUGCAGGAAAGAUUAAAAAUAAGGCAACACAUUGAUUUGUAAGAUUUUUCAAUGGAAACUACAAAGGGUUCAUUUCAAGCAAUUUUUUUAAAACCACGCUUUAGCUUUCCUGUGAUUUGAGAUAAAAAGUCGUAUUAGUAUCAUGGAGUUCCUUUGCUUUGAAAUAUUUUACACAACUUAAAUAUAUUUAUUACAACUGCGUACGUGUUCAUUAUUUUUCUUACAGUAGUACUUCUAAUUCCUUCUUGAAGUAUAGAUAAUUUUGUCUACAUUUUUUUUUCUAGAAGUUCCUGCCUUACUGUAAAGAACUUCACUUCCAUGUACAAAGCUCUCUUGUCACUUCUAUGCUCUUAAUUUUCAUGGAAAACUUCCAUAUGGUGAAUUUAGGUAAAAAUCCCCGAUCAUUAGACUUGCUGAAAGCAACCUUCAAAUCUGCUUGAGUUCAUCUUCAGACUGUAAGCAGUAUGAGUACCCUUUAUAAAUGAGUGAUGUAGUCAUAUGCUCACAUCUUGAAACGCUGUUGAUCGUUAAUUUCUGACUUUUCAUCACAAUGCUCCAUUAAUUUACCCAACCUGCAAUAUGAAAGAUUACUCACUCAUUAUCCAUUGUUUAUUACUUAAAUCUUUGACUACGAUAUCUGUUGCUAAAAUCUGAAAAUUAUCACUGGCUUAUGAAUACAAUGUCUGAUAAGAUUAAAUUUUCACUGGCUCAAGUGUUAAAAUUAGUUUUAGUAUAGCUUAAACUUCAGCCUAAUCUUAAUUUAAGAGUUUAUUGUAAAUAUUUUAAAUCAAAUAUUUUUCACUGGCUAACUUUCAUAACUAACUUGAAAAAAAAUAAGAAAUUAAGUACUAAUUUACAGUAUUUAUACAAACGGCCUAAAAAACAAAAAACUUACACCAAUGCUUCCCAGCAAGAGAAAGACACCAUUGAGUCUGCACAGUCCGGGAUGUACAGACAGUUACAGCGCCUCAGUGGCGUGGUUGGUUUGGUCUUUACUUCUCACCUCGGUGGUCGCGGGUUCGAUUCUCGGCCAUUCCAUUGAGGAGUGAGAGAUGUGUAUUUCUGGUGAUAGAAGUUCACUCUCGACGUGGUUCGGAAGUCACGUUAAGCCGUUGGUCCCGUUGCUGAAUAACCACUGGUUCCAUGAAAAGUAAUAACACCAAACAAACAUACAAACAAAAUACACCCAGUUAUAAAAGCGGUGUGGCCCCGCCAGGCCUGGCUCGGUGAGAUCAUGCCCUUCUUGCCCUGAAAGUGGCCAUCAUU